AUUGAACGCUGGCGGCAGGCCUAACACAUGCAAGUCGAACGAGUGGCGGACGGGUGAGUAAUGUCUGGGAAACUGCCCGAUGGAGGGGGAUAACUACUGGAAACGGUAGCUAAUACCGCAUACCAUCGGAUGUGCCCAGCUGGGCUUAGCUAGUAGGUGGGGUAACGGCUCACCUAGGCGACGAUCGCUAGCUGGUCUGAGGGGAGGACCAGCACACCUGUAACUGAGACACGGUCCAGAACCCUACGGAAGGCAGCAGUGGGGAAUAUUGGACAAUGGGCGCAAGCCUGAUGCAGCCAUGCCGCGUGAAUGAAGAAGGCCUUCGGGUUGUAAAGUACUUUCAGCGAGGAGGCGUUACUCGCAGAAGAAGGACCGGCUAACUCCGGGACAGCAGCCGCGGUAAUUC
rnacentral:rRNA from 1 species